rnacentral:ncRNA from 1 species
UUCCUAUCAUUGUGAAGCAGAAUUCACCAAGCAUUGGAUUGUUCACCCUCUGCUAGGAAA